rnacentral:rRNA from 1 species
UACGUAGGUGGCAAGCGUUGUCCGGAUUUAUUGGGUUUAAAGGGUGCGUAGGCGGUCUAUUAAGUCAGUGCUGAAAUAUCCCGGCUUAACCGGGAGGGUGGCAUUGAUACUGAUGGACUUGAGUGCAGUCGAGGUAGGCGGAAUUGACGGUGUAGCGGUGAAAUGCUUAGAUAUCGUCAAGAACACCGAUAGUGAAGACAGCUUACUAGACUGUAACUGACGCUGAGGCACGAAAGCGUGGGGAGCAAACAGA